rnacentral:rRNA from 1 species
CGGGCUUGAACUGAGGGGGAAUGAGCCAGAGAUGACUCAGUCUUCGGACUCCCUUGGAGGUGCUGCAUGGUU